GGUUAAGCGACUAAGCGUACACGGUGGAUGCCCUGGCAGUCAGAGGCGAUGAAGGACGUGCUAAUCUGCGAAAAGCGUCGGUAAGGUGAUAUGAACCGUUAUAGCCGGCGAUGUCCGAAUGGGGAAACCCAGUGUGAUUCGUCACACUAUCGUUAACUGAAUACAUAGGUUAACGAGGCGAACCGGGGGAACUGAAACAUCUAAGUACCCCGAGGAAAAGAAAUCAACCGAGAUUCCCCCAGUAGCGGCGAGCGAACGGGGAGCAGCCCAGAGUCUGAAUCAGCUUGUGUGUUAGUGGAACGGUCUGGAAAGUCCGACGGUACAGGGUGAUAGUCCCGUACACCAAAAUGCACAGGCUGUGAACUCGAAGAGUAGGGCGGGACACGUGGUAUCCUGUCUGAAUAUGGGGGGACCAUCCUCCAAGGCUAAAUACUCCUGACUGACCGAUAGUGAACCAGUACCGUGAGGGAAAGGCGAAAAGAACCCCGGCGAGGGGAGUGAAAAAGAACCUGAAACCGUGUACGUACAAGCAGUGGGAGCACCUUUAUGGUGUGACUGCGUACCUUUUGUAUAAUGGGUCAGCGACUUAUAUUCUGUAGCAAGGUUAACCGUAUAGGGGAGCCGCAGGGAAACCGAGUCUUAACUGGGCGUUAAGUUGCAGGGUAUAGACCCGAAACCCGGUGAUCUAGCCAUGGGCAGGUUGAAGGUUGGGUAACACUAACUGGAGGACCGAACCGACUAAUGUUGAAAAAUUAGCGGAUGACUUGUGGCUGGGGGUGAAAGGCCAAUCAAACCGGGAGAUAGCUGGUUCUCCCCGAAAGCUAUUUAGGUAGCGCCUCGUGAACUCAUCUUCGGGGGUAGAGCACUGUUUCGGCUAGGGGGUCAUCCCGACUUACCAACCCGAUGCAAACUACGAAUACCGAAGAAUGUUAUCACGGGAGACACACGGCGGGUGCUAACGUCCGUCGUGAAGAGGGAAACAACCCAGACCGCCAGCUAAGGUCCCAAAGUCAUGGUUAAGUGGGAAACGAUGUGGGAAGGCACAGACAGCCAGGAUGUUGGCUUAGAAGCAGCCAUCAUUUAAAGAAAGCGUAAUAGCUCACUGGUCGAGUCGGCCUGCGCGGAAGAUGUAACGGGGCUAAACCAUGCACCGAAGCUGCGGCAGCGACACUAUGUGUUGUUGGGUAGGGGAGCGUUCUGUAAGCCUGCGAAGGUGGCCUGUGAGGGUUGCUGGAGGUAUCAGAAGUGCGAAUGCUGACAUAAGUAACGAUAAAGCGGGUGAAAAGCCCGCUCGCCGGAAGACCAAGGGUUCCUGUCCAACGUUAAUCGGGGCAGGGUGAGUCGACCCCUAAGGCGAGGCCGAAAGGCGUAGUCGAUGGGAAACAGGUUAAUAUUCCUGUACUUGGUGUUACUGCGAAGGGGGGACGGAGAAGGCUAUGUUAGCCGGGCGACGGUUGUCCCGGUUUAAGCAUGUAGGCUGGUUAUCCAGGCAAAUCCGGAUAAUCAAGGCUGAGGUGUGAUGACGAAGCACUACGGUGCUGAAGUAACAAAUGCCCUGCUUCCAGGAAAAGCCUCUAAGCAUCAGGUAACACGAAAUCGUACCCCAAACCGACACAGGUGGUCAGGUAGAGAAUACCAAGGCGCUUGAGAGAACUCGGGUGAAGGAACUAGGCAAAAUGGUGCCGUAACUUCGGGAGAAGGCACGCUGGUGUGUAGGUGAAGCCCCUGCGGGUGGAGCUGAGACCAGUCGAAGAUACCAGCUGGCUGCAACUGUUUAUUAAAAACACAGCACUGUGCAAACACGAAAGUGGACGUAUACGGUGUGACGCCUGCCCGGUGCCGGAAGGUUAAUUGAUGGGGUUAUCCGUAAGGAGAAGCUCUUGAUCGAAGCCCCGGUAAACGGCGGCCGUAACUAUAACGGUCCUAAGGUAGCGAAAUUCCUUGUCGGGUAAGUUCCGACCUGCACGAAUGGCGUAAUGAUGGCCAGGCUGUCUCCACCCGAGACUCAGUGAAAUUGAACUCGCUGUGAAGAUGCAGUGUACCCGCGGCAAGACGGAAAGACCCCGUGAACCUUUACUAUAGCUUGACACUGAACAUUGAGCCUUGAUGUGUAGGAUAGGUGGGAGGCUUUGAAGCGUGGACGCCAGUCUGCGUGGAGCCAACCUUGAAAUACCACCCUUUAAUGUUUGAUGUUCUAACGUUGGCCCCUUACCGGGGUUGCGGACAGUGUCUGGUGGGUAGUUUGACUGGGGCGGUCUCCUCCCAAAGCGUAACGGAGGAGCACGAAGGUUAGCUAAUCCUGGUCGGACAUCAGGAGGUUAGUGCAAUGGCAUAAGCUAGCUUGACUGCGAGCGUGACGGCGCGAGCAGGUGCGAAAGCAGGUCAUAGUGAUCCGGUGGUUCUGAAUGGAAGGGCCAUCGCUCAACGGAUAAAAGGUACUCCGGGGAUAACAGGCUGAUACCGCCCAAGAGUUCAUAUCGACGGCGGUGUUUGGCACCUCGAUGUCGGCUCAUCACAUCCUGGGGCUGAAGUAGGUCCCAAGGGUAUGGCUGUUCGCCAUUUAAAGUGGUACGCGAGCUGGGUUUAGAACGUCGUGAGACAGUUCGGUCCCUAUCUGCCGUGGGCGCUGGAGAAUUGAGGGGGGCUGCUCCUAGUACGAGAGGACCGGAGUGGACGCAUCACUGGUGUUCGGGUUGUCAUGCCAAUGGCACUGCCCGGUAGCUAAAUGCGGAAGAGAUAAGUGCUGAAAGCAUCUAAGCACGAAACUUGCCCCGAGAUGAGUUCUCCCUGAGACUUUAAGUCUCCUGAAGGAACGUUAAAGACGAUGACGUUGAUAGGCCGGGUGUGUAAGCGCAGCGAUGCGUUGAGCUAACCGGUACUAAUGAACCGUGAGGCUUAACCUU
rnacentral:rRNA from 1 species